AGAAAGGGUUGAGUGCCGUGCGUUACAUACGCCUGGUGAUGAUGUUGAGUGUUCUAGGGCCUCAAUUACUGAAAGUACCAAGUGUGUUUUCUGAUAAGCCUUUGGGGUGAAAAUUGCCACGACCAGAUGUCAUGCAUGGUGCUUUUUUAAAUUUUAAUGUAAGAGUGAAUAUCAUUAAGAGUAGCACAAAGGAAGUAACCUUGUGGUUCUGUAAAGAAUAGGAAGGUUUGUCUCUGCCGAUGCGUUAAACCACUCUGCACCUCUUCACGCAGGAUGUGAUGACGUCAUGCAGUGGCUCUAUGUUUCAGGUGUCUGUAGCAAUGUGUUGACCAUUACUGGAGAAAAAGUGCAGCAUCGGAAAAUGGGAGGAUGGUCGAUGGUGUGCAUUGUCCUGGACGGAUUUAUGAUGAGCACUGUUUUUUGAAUAGUAGGAGUGUGUGUGUGUGUGUGCUUAGAAAUAGUGUGAUGAAGGAGAGUGUGUUUUCCACUUUGUUGAAGUGUUUCUCUGCACUUUUUCCCCGUGUUGUCUGACCAACGUGUGAUUUUUCCUGGCGUGACAGUGUUCGUUGACCAAUGUCCUGACAUGUCCAGACCUGUUCUGUCAUGCUUUCCUUCUGCAUGUAGUUCUGUAUUUUUUUUUUCUUUUUGACAAGAAGCAUUCUUGUUGAAGCACUGUCGUGACGAUGUCGAUAGUGCUGCCCUGUAUGGGAGUAGUGCUAGAACGGUUCGUAAUAAUUUUGCGAUUGAAAUAGUUCAAAGAAAACCGCAAGGGGGACAGCUAUGGGGCUUUAUUCAGGAGGAACAAAGCGUCAUUAUUCAGUGAUCUGCCUGGCUCUCGGAUGGGACGGACACCCUCGCUGAGCUCGUUGGAGCUCGACGGAGCUCGUCCUAUUGAUGGUGUUACUUGUUAGGAUAUUUUGUUUUUUCCUGUAUUCAUAAGUCUCAUUUAGUAAGACUUUGGGAUUGAAAUGCUUAAUUCCUACGAUCAACUUCCAUGCAUGGUGCUUUUCUGCAAUAGUUUUUCUGUUUCCUAUGCAAUCAUUAUAGUAGAAUAAAGGAAAUAAUCUUGGGAUAGCGAUUCAAUAAAUAACAGGUCCCCUGUCUAGAGCGUACGCGUCCUUGAGCCGUGCUGCUGCAUGCUUGGGUGAUGACGUCAUGCCGCAUUCAUUGCAGGUGGAUCUUAACCCAAGGAGUUGCGUUGGCAGUUAGUGAAAAAAAAAAAAACACUGUAGGCUUGGGACAAUAGGAUGACGUCACGACCAAUGAGCAAGUCCUGCAGAGGGCGUAGGAGUUCACUUCUCUCAUAGCCUCUCGCAGGUACAGUCGCGUUACUUCUCACUGGUGGUCGUCGCAGGUGGCGCUAGGAGCGCGCCCGUAUGCGUAGCACCCGUAGCAGCCGCCGGCUCUAAAGCGAAACGCACCGCCUCGAAAAUAUUGUCGCCACCAGCGUGCCAGCUCGGAAGAUCUCUCAUUGGCUGCGCAUUAUAUGUAUAAAUAUUUGGAUGCUCAUUGGUCUAAAAAACGGGCGUCAGUUUCCUUCGCGCUGAUUGGGCGAGAGUCAUUUGACUGAGGAGCGAGCAUCCGAACGCGCGAACCGCUCAACGGAAGCAGUCGAACGGAGGAGAAAGAAGAACGACAGAGGAGACAUCGCGUCUGCAGUGUUGCCAGUUCUACUGAAAUUUCAGUAGAUCUACUGGAUUUCAGGUCCGCCUACUGAAAUACUGAAAAAAGAUCAAAAUGCGCUGAAAUCUACUGAUUUUUUUGCCUGAAACAUUGUUUUGCUUUGCGAACUCCAAUUUACGUUUGCUGACACUGUCUGAUUACAUUGUAGUUCGCGUACUAGCGGGAAAAUCAUGUCGUUCGUGCUGGGAGCACUAUAUGAGUGCUACACAAAUCCCGAAGAGAAUUAUUUUUGAUACAGUAAGGGGUCUACGUGUUAUGUGGCGAGCAGCUGCCCAAGUAAAACAACUUACAGCAAAUACAUUGAAGAAGUAUGCGCAUAUACCGUAAACAGUGACAGCUUUAGCUUUAACCAAGGACGACACAGCACAUAUUCCACAAAACAUGGACGACACAGACAUAUUCCACAGGACACCCGGUAAACCCACACCUCUCGUAGUUCCAUUGCAGAGGGAUGCCCAGAGUAGGGCUUAACAUAAUCACGUUCAGAUAUUCAUAUAGAUGGUCACAGUGCGACACAGUCAAUGCCCGCAACUGAAGACAUCUAACGACAGGAAGCUGGGCCACAAAACUAACGAAUCGAAAGGUAUAUCGGACAACAGAAAUCUCCCAUUUUUUAUUUUUUUCGUGGUGACUAUUUACCACGGAUGAAGUGAUGAAGUAGGGUUGUGGCGUACAGCGAGCACCAUUAGAUAAAAUCCGGUACCAUACGGUGCGGUUUAUUGCAGAGCGAAGCCCUUUGGAAGGAGGCGAAGGGCUUGCUUCGGCACUGCAGACGCAUGAUGGCGUCUGCUUCGCCCUGUUCUCUUGCAAUAAAGCUGUUUUUGUUACAUCUACUGAAUUUUACUGAAUUUCCUGGCGCCGGCCUCCCGCGCGUCUGUCCGGCCAUGCGUGUUCUCUUGGACUGCAACCGUUGUGCACGCAGACGCUACGGGGUAGUUUGAGGGCUUUGAAUGCUUUAGAUUUAGAUUGUGGCGAACUGCUAAUGUGAGAACGGAAUGGCACAUCCACCCCAUCAUCACAACAGCGGGAAGACGAACAUGACAUGGAAUCCGCCUGCACCUCCAAAGGACGCAGAAAUCGUCAGAGAGGAAGUCUGCACUCUUUCCGACGUACUGCAGGUGAACGUUCUCCCGCAACCAUCGGCAACAACGACGCACAUAGCUCAGCAUUGGCUUUUGAACGGCCCUUGGAUGUCGAAGUACCCAAAGCUCCAGUGAAGCCUGUUACAAGACGUAAAAAGAUAUGUACUGUAGCUUUUUCGAGACAGUUCCCGGGGACAAAUAAAGUUGAUUUGUCAUA